GCACACAAGAACAAGAUCCUGUCAGGUGUU
rnacentral:piRNA from 1 species